UACGGGGGGGGGCAAGCGUUUGUUCGGAAUUACUGGGCGUAAAGGGCUCGUAGGUGGCCAACUAAGUCAGACGUGAAAUCCCUCGGCUUAACCUGGGAACUGCGUCUGAUACUGGGAGGCUUGAGUAUGGGAGAGGGAUGUAGAAUUCCAGGUGUAGCGGUGAAAUGCGUAGAUAUCGAGAGGAACACCUGCGGCGAAGGCGGGUAGCUGGGCCGACACUGACGCUGAGGAGCGAAAGCGUGGGUAGCGAACAGG
rnacentral:rRNA from 1 species